rnacentral:rRNA from 1 species
UACGAAGGGGGCUAGCGUUGCUCGGAAUUACUGGGCGUAAAGCGCACGUAGGCGGCUUGGUAUGUCGGGUGUGAAAUCCCCGGGCUCAACCUGGGAACUGCAUCCGAAACUGCCUUGCUCGAGUAUGGGAGAGGGAAGUGGAAUUUCCGGUGUAGCGGUGAAAUGCGUAGAUAUCGGAAGGAACACCAGUGGCGAAGGCGGCUUUCUGGGCAUUUCCUGACGCUGAGACGCGAAAGCGUGGGGAGCGAACCGG